rnacentral:rRNA from 1 species
GACGAACCGUGCGAACGUUGUUCGGAAUCACUGGGCUUAAAGGGCGCGUAGGCGGGUCUUCAAGUCCGGGGUGAAAGCCCCCAGCUCAACUGGGGAAGCGCCUUGGAUACUGGAGAUCUCGAGGGAGGUAGGGGCGUGCGGAACUUCCGGUGGAGCGGUGAAAUGCGUAGAUAUCGUCCAGAACACCGAUAGCGAAGGCAGCUUACUAAGGAGUAACUGACGCUGAGGCACGAAAGUGUGGGGAUCAAACAGG